UUCUGAAAGUAGAAGUGUCUCUGCUUGGCCUCUCCAGAGUGGAUCAGCACAGUGGCAGUGAAAAUGAUGACUACAAGAAGUGUUUGUCUGUGGGUGUAAACAACCACCAAGGAGAUUGAGGACAGGCUGGGACAUCUUGCAUCAUCUUCCAGCAUUUGGAAGAUCAGCACUGUUGAAAUUCAGAUGAAGCAGAGGUACUGAAAGAUGCAAGUUGGGAAAUUAGUCAGGAAGCAUGGAAUACCGGCAUUGCAGUGCAAAGAGCUGGGACAGAAGAGGCAGAAUAGCAACAGAGGGUUUUCUUGGGAUACCUGACAUGAAUUGCACACCCACAGGGUUCAUCAUCACCCUACUCCUCUGAUUUUAGUUUUCAGAGACAGCAUGGUUAGUCCUUCAUCAUCCUGUCUGGUCCAGAUGGCAGAGACUCUCAGCAAAGCAGUUAUUCGCUAUGAGAUCGAUUGGAAAAGGACAGUCCCUCUCUAACAAUAACAAAGUUAUAUUCGGUGGAGACUGCAUCACAUCUAAGAGCAGUUAGGGGUUGGACUCAUGUAAGAUGAAGAUGAUCCUAUCAUUUUGGGCCUUCUUAUGUUCUCAUUUAAGGUAUAGUUUCCACAGCUGUAAUGAAUGCAAUGGUUUGCUUAUCAGAGUCUCUUGUCUUUCAGAAAGCAUGGGGAUAUCUUUGGACAAUGCCCUUGCUAAGCCAAGCAUAUGUUUCCUGCUCACUCUUUGCAUUAAUUCUCUCAGUCUUUAGCCUGAGAAAGAGCAAGAUGCUUAAAUUCCUUAGACUCCGCUGGAUGUUCACAAUUAAACACCUGGGUACCAA